CAAAAUAAUGCCCUCUGCCCGAGAUGUCCAUUCCCAAUCCUCAGAACCUGGGAAUGCAUUACCUUACAUAGCAAAGGCAAUUUACAGAGGUACGGUGCCCCACCCAGAUCCUGUCUUAAGGGCUGGAGCACUCAUUUCCCAGCUGCUGGAAUAUUAGCUGCUAUUGGCUCACAGUUGCAUCCCCCACUGGGAAUUCCCUCCACUCACAGGGAACUGUCUCGCCCACGGUUACUCCUCCUUCUGGGGGCAGCCAAGGACCCAUGACUGCCUAAUGUGGUAACAUGAAGCCCUGACCCCUGGCCUGGAUUUGGGAUAAGUCUGAAAGGCCAUCCCAGCUCCCCGUAAAACUGAAGAGCAAUCCCCAACCAGCCUUCUGCACCCAACUCUCCAUCUCAGAGCCUGUUUCCUGGGAACCCAGGACAGGCGGAGCAUUUUUACUUAUUGAUGUGCAAUGAAAAGAGUCUUGGAUGCAGUGACAGUGACUGAACAAUUCUGCAAGGUUGAAGGCUAAGAAUAAGGCUUCUGUUACCAAAUAGAGGGAUGAAGAGAAGAAAUUUAGCAAGAACAAAGUUUGGAAAGAACGGCAUUUCCCAAAUUUAUUUCCUGGGAACUAUGUAUGCCUUUGGAAUGCUUCAUGGCCUGAGAAAUGUUCCCGCACAGAAUCAUGUGUAUAACCAAGGUAGAUUUGGUCUUGAAAAUGCCUAUUUCAUUUCACCAACAGCCAAAGUGAGGCAUUUAUAAUGCCCAUUCAAAGCAAGAAAUAAUUCAUUAAAAGUCAAGUACCUAAAUACCACCCUUCACUCUGCAAGUUGCUUAACUUUUUAGGGAAAGAGAACAGCAAGGCAGCAAGAUUCUUCAAGUGGCUAUUUCCCCACCUGCAGACAUGUCUCUACCAAGAUCUUUCACCUCAGGCAGGGAUGUAGAAUAAUAAGCACAGAGCUGGAGAUAUUCGGCAACAGAAUGGUAGGACUCAGUAGGGACAACACUGGGAAAUCUGCAGAGUUGCAGCAGCUCGGAGCCUGCCACACAUGGAAGGAAAUAUGACGCUCCCCAGCAAUAUGUGCUCCCCUGGAAGAAGAGCUGAUGACUACCCAAAGGCGGGGCAGACAACUUGGCUUUUCUUCCUGUUGGUUUAUUCUUUGUUCUGAUGUGGCUGAUGGCAUUUUUAUGAGUCAAAAAAGCUUGAUGGUUGGGGAUGAACUGGUAUUAUGGUAUCACAAUAAACUCUGAAUCGCAAAAACUUCCUGAUGUGUUUGCUCAACUGUGAUUCUAAAAGAGCUUUGUAUCCUCUGAAAAGAGGCUCAGUACCUUCACACACUGCAGUUAGGAAGACUAACUGAGAU
rnacentral:lncRNA from 1 species